UACGGGGGGGAGCAAGCGUUUGUUCGGAUUUACUGGGCGUAAAGGGCGCGUAGGCGGCGUGACAAGUCACUUGUGAAAUCUCCGGGCUUAACUCGGAACGGUCAAGUGAUACUGUCGUGCUAGAGUACAGAAGGGGCAACUGGAAUUCUCGGUGUAGCGGUGAAAUGCGUAGAUAUCGAGAGGAACACCGGUGGCGAAGGCGGGUCUCUGGGCCGAUACUGACGCUGAGGAGCGAAAGCGUGGGGAGCGAACAGG
rnacentral:rRNA from 1 species